rnacentral:rRNA from 1 species
UACGAAGGGGGCUAGCGUUGUUCGGAUUUACUGGGCGUAAAGCGCACGUAGGCGGAUUGUUAAGUCAGGGGUGAAAUCCCGGAGCUCAACUCCGGAACUGCCUUUGAUACUGGCAAUCUAGAGUCCGGAAGAGGUGAGUGGAACUCCUAGUGUAGAGGUGGAAUUCGUAGAUAUUAGGAAAACACCAGUGGCGAAGGCGGCUCACUGGUCCGGUACUGACGCUGAGGUGCGAAAGCGUGGGGAGCAACAGGG